AUGGCAAGCAAUGCUACCCCUAUUUCUGGUCUCUUCUUCCUCCCACCAACAAGCCGCCGGCUUCUCAUGCACAGAAGAGAAAAGAACUCGUUGACACCCAUGUGGAUCUCGGCCAGCUUCUCCCUUCUCUCCAGACCCUCCACCCUCCCCCAACCACGGACACCGCCCUCACCUUCUCAUCCACAGGCAUCUUGCCCUCUGCUUCUCGCAAGUGCCUUGAUGGAGCGUAGAUUUGGCAUCUGGCCUCCCUCAAUGGUGGCCACGUCUGCCGCGGUGACAUCCUUGUCCCCUGAGGAGGGGACGCCCCUGGGCCGCCUGGUGUGGGGCUGUUCCGACUCACCGGCGGAGAACGGCGCCGCUCUGUAUGCUACCACUAAUUCCAAGAAGUGUGGCGGUCUCUUCUCCCUAGCGACGCGGCUGGAGGCUCUGGUGCCAACUAAAUGGCUCGCCAUUGAGCCGCGGCGGAGGCGCACUAUUGCUGGUCAACCCGCGUGCGUGCACGAAGUCUACAGAGCAUCCAUGAACUUCUCCUUGUCUGGACUUCCACGGUUGAGAUGUGAUUUGUGGAGGACCACCGGCGAGCGCGGCGGCGCAGAACACAGGCGGUUGCCAUCGCUGUACACGCGUCGGUGCCGUCUCGAAGUUUUGGGCUAUUUGUUCUGCGGCGAUCUCCUCUCUGGCUGGCGUCUCGACGGCUACAGGUUUCCAGAUCGGUGGCACAAGGACCUGCAAGUCUUUUGUGCAGAAGUUCCAGGACACGUGCAUCUCUGA
rnacentral:rRNA from 1 species